UAUAUAUAUAUAUAUAUAUAUAUAUAUAUAUAUAUAUAUAUAUAUAUAUACACUAGGAAACUUAUUAGGGCCGUGAUAUAAUCACGGCCCAAAAGAAUUAAUGAGUAAGUUAGUGUUAAAUGGUUCAGGAAAAACACGAUUGAUAGACAAAUAUAACUUUUGAUUGAAUUUUUUUUGUUAUGGCUCCCAAUAAUAUAAAUGGCAGAAAGCUUGUUGGGGUAGAAGUUGUGUUCUGUUUGAAUUUGUGUCUAACAACAUUUGGGAUCUUGAUAUCCAGCGUCAUAUUAUUAGAACCCAAAUACUACAGUGGCUCUCCAUAAUUGGCUUCAAGUGCCCUGUUUUUCAGAAUUUUAUCGAGUGUAAAUUGGGUAUUUUCUAGAAUGAAGAUAAAAUAUUAUAGUUGGGUAGAUUUUUGGAUUAUAAUGUCUUAAUAAGUUAGGGAUACAUGCGAGAAAUGGUAAUAUAUGUUCGUUUAUUUGUAGAUUUUUUUUUCUAUUUAUAUGUUGUAGUUUGAAAUCUACCUACUUAUAGCAAUAUACUUUAAAUAUUAUCUUAUCAUGACAUUCUACUCUGAAGAUUCUACUGUAUUGUGUGAUUUAGGCCCUUCAUUUUGAUUGUUUUUUGUAGAAAUCAAAAUCGUGAGAAAAAAAGAAUAUUUUUCUUAUAUGUGUGUAUUGGCAUAAUAGAAUUUUACUUAACUAUUUUCAUCAUGUUUUGGCCAUUAUUUUGUUCAGGAGCAAUUUUGUAAUUUCUGAUGUCCAAUAUUUUACAUUUAUACAAAUAUUUUGAUAUUCAUACUUCAUUUUCAUUUUUUGAGUCAUUUUCUUGUGUUAACCUCUUUUAAUUUUGUAUAAGAGUCGAUCUUUUACUUUAGGGGUAUUAUAGUCAAUUAGCAUGCUUCUUUUGCUAUUUACUUCAACGUCUAGUUUUUUGCCUUGUAUUUUCAAUUGUUGACAUUGACAUGACAUUUGGUCCUUCAAUAAUGUUAUCAUCUCUUUGAACUAAAACAUUUUGUGUAUUGCAGCUCCAUUCACCUGUAUCUUCUCAUGUUCUUUAAAAAAAUUCACCUACAUUUUUAUUUAUAAUCAGGGCUGUUAGUUAUUUAUCACAAAGCAUACAGGCAAAAUCAAGACAUAUAGCAUAAGGAAAAAUAAAUAGCAACAAACUAUAUAAAAUAUGGGAACCACCUCAAUAUACUAAAUAUAAGUAAAGAUUAAACCAAAUAUUUUAAUUUUAUAUGUUUGACUUGUUAUAAAUGAAAUGCAACUCAAAUUGACUUGUUUCUUUUCGACAUUUCAAAAAAUUAAAUUUCAUAAUUUUCAUCAAUUCUAUCGAUAUUCAUCAAACCUUAACAUGAAAAGAAUUGGGAGGAAAAAUAAUAACUGAAAAUAGGUAAAAGGUUAGAGUCAUAAUACAUUAAACCUGGUUUUUGGCUUAAUCUAUUAAGUCAUUUCGAUAAGAUUAAGUAAAAAAGACAGUCAUCUAUACUUCGAAAACAGUCCACAUUGAGUCACUAAGCCCACCAAGUAAAAACAGAAACAAAACGCUUACACUGUAGUCUAUACACACAUCAGGGGGGAAAAAUAGGCCCUUGUAAGUUGUAACAGUAAGCCUUCUCUUUGACUUUCACAUAUUAGAAAGUUAUCUUUUUAAAUUUAAGUACCAAUGCCCUUAUUAAAAUUUAACUCUAAUUUUCCAAAUUGUGCAGUCAUUUUAUAAGAUAUAAACAAUGUUUAACAACACAUCACUAAAAUAAGAAACGAAGGGCCAUUUGCAGCUCAUAUUCUAAUUGUUGUGCAGUCAUUUUAUAAGAUAUAAACAAUGUUUAACAACACAUCACUAAAAUAAGAAACGAAGGGCCAUUUGCAGCUCAUAUUCUAAUUGUCUGAAAAAUCAAGCUGCUCACCGCCAUAUAUGUUAAAAAUUGUUGCUCACCGCCAUAUAUGUUAAAAAUUGUUGGCUCCUACUGAACGAAAAUAAAAUUAUAGCUAGAGACAUGAACUGAAAUGAGAGUGUGAUGAAGAACUCCAAAUUAGAUUCGUAAUACCUUACUGAGCAUUCUUCAACGACCAAAAAAAAUCAAAUUGCAUAGUGAUUGUAGUUGGCGAUGUCAACUGCCGAAGAUGGGAAUUAAUAGCCAUGGUGGAGGCAUCAAGAAGAAGAGACCCAGAGGAUGAAGUAUAAAUAAAUAGAGAAGAGUAUAGAGUCAAUAUAUCUUAGAAUUGUACGUGUCGUAUCAAGGAAAAUCAUUGUAACCAAAAUCUACUAUUGAAGCAACACGUUUCUUGAAGAAAGAAGCAUGUGGCAAGCUGUCAUGCAAUUAAGUAAUUAAAAAAAAUCCACCUUUGAAGUCUCAUGCAUCAACCUGAGGCAAAGAUGAUAGGAAACAACCAAGUAAGUAGGUGAGACGGGCAGCCAAGCAGCUAACGGAAGGAUGAUGUACGGCAUGACGGAAGAAGAUUAGAACAGAGCUGUUGAGCACAUAUAAGUUAAGAAUGGCCGCCCAUUGGUUUCUUAUUGGAAGAGUAAGGUUUGGUUAAAGUUGGACACGAACAUGGGCAGUUAAGUGGGGCAGUGUUGACUAGUCAAAAUCUUUCUAUUGGGACACCUGUCAUAUCCGCUUCCCCUUUGCUUGGUGAGUUUACUAGUCCAGAUGAAAAUGGUGUUGUGGCUUCGAUUGGGUCCGAGAAGUCUAGUGCUGCAGAACAGCCUCUUGAGAGAUUACUCAAAGUGGUGAAAUCAAUUUCAGCAAGAGCUGCAGUUGGUGAGGAUUUGGUUGCCAUGAUUUCGGCUUCAAGCAAGAACUCUUGUCACUUAAGAGGGAACAAAUCCCAAUACCAUUAGAAAGAUGAAAAGUUUCACAAGUGCUAUGCCUUUAAAUGUUGUUUCAUCUGCUGGAAGUGUGAAUGAUAGCUUCAAAAUGUUAUCAGCAUAUUUUGGAUUUUAUUAUAGUUUGAAGAUGGAUGGAUUGUAAAGAUUUUCUUUGGAAAAAGGAAAUUCUAGCUACUACUUUUGAUUGUAUUCGAAGUUGUUGGAGAAUGAAUGCAGGUUUUCUUAAAGCAGCAUCUCACCAAUGUCGUCUUCGAUUCUCAUUUUAACGAUGAAGAAGUUGCAGCAGCUUUUGUGCCUCCAAGUGAACCAAAAGAAGAGGAUGAGCUAAUAGAAAGAGAUGAGGGGUCGCCACUAGUUGUUAAACGGAAAAAGAAGAAAUCCAAAUCACGCGAUGUUGAUAGAGAUGACGAUGAUGAAUCACACGAUCUUGUAAUUUAAACAAUAUGUUUUCAACAUCCCUUUUGGAAACCAAAAGUUGUUGCUUUAGUUCUUGCACUGUAGUUUCACAUUGUUCUUUCAUGAAGACCAUACAUAAUGAUUCAGACCCCCUUCCCCUUCCCUUUUAGGAUCCUUCUUUUCAUGUUUUUCAUUGUAAUUUUUGAUUAUCUAAGAUUCUGAAAAAGUUCCUUUAAUCAGUUUUAACCCUUGUCUCCAGUUUUAACCUGAUAGACGUAUUAUUAAAAUUAUUUGUUUAGUAAUUAGAUAAUUAGAGUUGAUUAAAGAAGUUAUAUAUGUUGCAUGUGAAUCGAUACCAAUCAGGUUGUUUUUUAGCCCAUAUGAACUGACACCAACACAUAGGAAUAUUAAGAUGAAAUUUUGUUGAUUAUAUGAAGAUGAAAUUUUUGUGCAUUAACAUCUGGUUUGUGUAGGCAGCAACAAAGAUUUUGGCACGCCAAUUGGUGAGGCUUAGACAACAAAUAGCCAACCUACAAAGUAGUCGGGCUCAAAUGAGGGGCAUAUCAACACAUACACAGGCAUUAGCUGGACACUCUUCUGUGGCUGUUGGGAUGAAAGAUGCUACCAAGGCAAUGGCAGCAAUGAAUAAGGAAAUGGCUCCUGCAAAGCAAAUGAAAGUGAUGCAACAGUUCCAGAAGCAAUCUGCGCACAAAUGGAUAUGAUUGGUCAUCAAUGUUUAUGGAGGAACUGUGGUAUGAUUGGUAGGAUCUCAUGGAGAUAAUGAAAAGUCUUGCCAUGUUAUUUUAAUGGGAAUUAUUAAGUUGUAUUUUAAUGAAACUCCAUGAGGAAGAGAGGGAACAUUGAUGGAUUUUUUGCCUAUUGAAUCUGAUCGAAGCUAAUAAGAAGCUUUGGAGGAAACGAGACUCAAGCAAAAGUAAA